rnacentral:rRNA from 1 species
CCUACGGGAGGCAGCAGUGAGGAAUAUUGGUCAAUGGGCGCGAGCCUGAACCAGCCAAGUAGCGUGAAGGAUGAAUGCCCUACGGGUUGUAAACUUCUUUUAUAAAGGAAUAAAGUGAGGCACGUGUGCCUUUUUGUAUGUACUUUAUGAAUCAGGAACGGCGAACUCCGUGCCAGAAGCCGCGGGAAUACGGAGGAUCCGAGCGUUAUCCGGAGUUAUGGGGUUUAAAGGGAGCGUAGAUGGGUUGUUAAGUCAGUUGUGAAAGUUUGCGGCUCAACCGUAAAAUUGCAAUUGAUACUGGCAGCCUUGAGGACAGUUGAGGUAGGCGGAAUUCGUGGUGUAGCGGUGAAAUGCUUAGAUAUCACGAAGAACUCCGAUUGCGAAGGCAGCCUACUAAACUGCCACUGACAUUGAUGCUCGAAAGUGUGGGUAUCAAACAGGAUUAGAUACCCGAGUAGUC